rnacentral:misc_RNA from 1 species
UACCGGUCUUACUGAAUUGCCAUUUUUUCUCACUGAAAAACUUCUCAAGCCCAAUCCAAUCCGCCCAUCUCCUGCCUACAUAUUCCUUCCUCCUACUUCUCUGAGAAGAAGCUGUACGCUGAAGUGAAGGAAAUCGGUACAGAAUAUUGCCCUCUUCAUCAAUUUCUGGCAGACCAUCAAACCGUAGAAGAACUGGUAAAAUGUAUGACUCAUCAUUCAUAAUUUGCUCAGUAUUCUGUAAAUCAAGAUAUGGUGCAAGUUCUUCAGCUGUGACAACACCACCAUUGGAGGAAAUGUAUUGUCCAAUCAACUUCCACCUCUCUUCUUCAAUUCCUUGAUUAGGAUCACCAUCCCCAAACACAAAUGAGAAGACAGAUUCAAUGAAGUUCAUCUUGCCAUCAUCAUCAAUUU